GGUCAAGGGAUGGGAAUCGAACCCACGACCUUCCGCUUACCGGGCAGAUGCCAUGACCACUAGGCUACCCUGGC